rnacentral:rRNA from 1 species
GGAUGCGAUCAUACCAGCACUAAAGCACCGGAUCCCAUCAGAACUCCGAUGUUAAGGUUGCUUGGGCGAGUGUAGUACUAGGAUGGGUGACCUCCUGGGAAGUCCUCGUGUUGCAUCCC